rnacentral:rRNA from 1 species
CCUACGGGAGGCAGCAGUGAGGAAUAUUGGUCAAUGGUCGGGAGACUGAACCAGCCAAGCCGCGUGCGGGAGGAAGGUACAGAGUAUCGUAAACCUCUUUUGUCAGGGAACAAAGGCGGGGACGUGUCCCCGGCUGAGUGUACCUGACGAAAAAGCAUCGGCUAACUCCGUGCCAGCAGCCGCGGUAAUACGGAGGAUGCGAGCGUUAUCCGGAUUUAUUGGGUUUAAAGGGUGCGCAGGCGGUCUGUUAAGUUAGCGGUCAAAGCCCGGGGCUCAACCCCGGCGGUGCCGUUGAAACUGGCAGGCUCGAGUGGGAUAGAGGUAGGCGGAAUGCGCGGUGUAGCGGUGAAAUGCAUAGAGAUCGCGCAGAACACCGAUUGCGAAGGCAGCAUGCCGGCUCCAAACUGACGCUGAGGCACGAAAGCGUGGGGAUCGAACAGGAUUAGAUACCCGGGUAGUC